ensembl:rRNA 5S_rRNA 5S ribosomal RNA
GCUUACGGCCAUACCACCCUGAGAACGCCCGAUUUCGUCUGAUCUCGGAAGCUAAGCAGGGUCGGGCCUGGUUAGUACUUGGACGGGAGACCGCCUGGGAAUACCAGGUGCUGUAAGCC